rnacentral:lncRNA from 1 species
UCCAGGGAUCCGCUUAAACAUGUGAUUCAUUAUAGCCUGCUGGUGGAAGCCAUAGGUGAUAACCUCAGUUCUCCUGAAAUGGGACUUCUGCUCACCUCCAGUGUUAAAGCUGCUUCAUUUAGAAGGGAGUUGACCUUACACGAUUGGAUUGCUGGUUAAGCGGACUCUGUAAGGCUGACACUGGAGCUGGAAGUCCAGAGGACAGGCAGACAGGAAAGGAAGAUGGAUGUAAAGUGGGGGAGAGCAAGAUCAAGUUGGAGCUCCCAAGGACAGACUGAAACCCCUGUCAGUUCCCCUUCCUCAGAUCUUGAGGGUAUGAGUGUCCUGAAAAUCCACGCCCCUUGAGAUGGAGCUAAUCACGCCGGCCUGACCCAGGAGUUGGAAAGAUGGAGGAGGAUCCUGGGGCGGGUAGGGCAGCUGGAAGCCCGGAUGCUGCCUCACAGCAAUGAGCUCACCCAGCAGAUAAGCAACGGUAUGCACAAACUACAAAAACUUCCUCCAGAUCUCGCUUCAGACUCUCUCCUGUGGUCCUCCCCAACAGGAAACACACAGGAAGGGGACUUCUGGGAAAGGUAAUUUGGCCUUGCCACCACAUGUGAUAUUUCAAUUUAAACAAAAUUUUAAUCAAGAGGACAUGGUGAUAAAGAUAGCUGAAAAUCACCUGGAAAAAGCAGCAUCCAUACUUGGUGGAUUGAGAUCUAGUUUGUUGUGGGGUCCACGGCCCAGAAGAGUUUCGUAAACUUUGCUUAGUGGAGACUAUGUCCGGCCAGGCCUCAGCAGAAAACAAAUCCCUUUCAGGUGGGAUUUUGACAAGAAUCUAUGACAUCUACAUCGAUGAGGGCAGGGUGAAGAGAACCAAGGAGGAGAACUAAGGCAACCACAUCAAGUACCCCAGGAAGCCUUUCCUCCCCGACAACUCUGAGCAGGCUGGAGCUCAUGGGAGCCGCGAUGGUUAGGGACGCGGCUAAUGCCACAACCUCGGCGUCACCUGGAAGGAGUAGAGGAAAAGCACCCGAGCCAGCCUCAUCCUGCCUUCGGGGCUCCUACCGAAGCCUCCCUCGGCUCAGAGCAGCAGACAGAAUGGCUGAAAACGGGUCUGGGGCACACACGACGGAGAGCUGGCACAGGGGAUGAUAGCCAGUUCAGCCAAACUUCCUAACAUUUUGCCAAAGAACUUGAAAUAGUUAUGAUGAUAAAUAAUCUGGUGUAUGGUUUACAUUUUCUGUGAAACUUGCUCUUUUCCACUGGUGUUGAAACAUAUUCCUCAUCAUCUUGACAAAUGCCAUUAAUUUUCAUUUUUCUUCGAAUGGAACAUUGCCCUAUAAGUUAUUUUCAUAGCAAAGAGUGACUCAGCUCUCAAUAAAAGUGAUUUAUG